ACGGAGGGUGCAAGCGUUACUCGGAAUUACUGGGCGUAAAGCGCACGCAGGCGGUUUGUUAAGUCAAGGGUGAAAUCCCCAGGCUCAACCUGGGAACUGCACUUGAUACUGGCAAGCUUGAGUCUAGUAAAGGGGAGUGGAAUUCCAGGUGGAGCGGUGAAAUGCAUAGAGAUCUGGAGGAAUACCGGUGGCGAAGGCGGCCCCCUGGACGAGGACUGACGCUCAGGUGCGAAAGCGUGGGGAGCAAACAG
rnacentral:rRNA from 1 species